UGGGGAGUCGUCUAAGGGGCAGGACACCGGCCUUUGGAGCCGAGGGUGGAGGUUCGAGUCCUCCCUCCCCAGCCA
rnacentral:tRNA from 1 species